GACGAACGCUGGCGGCGUGCUUAACACAUGCAAGUCGAACGGAAAGGCCCUGCUUUUGUGGGGUGCUCGAGUGGCGAACGGGUGAGUAACACGUGAGUAACCUGCCCUUGACUUUGGUAUAACUUCAGGAAACUGGGGUUACUACCGUAUAGGAUCUCCUGCUGCAUGGUGGGGGUUGGAAAGUUUCGGCGGUUGGGGAUGGACUCGCGGCUUAUCAGCUUGUUGGUGGGGUAGUGGCUUACCAAGGCUUUGACGGGUAGCCGGCCUGAGAGGGUGACCGGCGACAUGGGGGCUGAGAGACGGCCCAGACUGCUACGGGAGGCAGCAGUGGGGAAUAUUGCACAAUGGGCGGAAGCCUGAUGCAGCAACGCCGGGGGCGGGAUGACGGCCUUUGGGUUGUAAACCGCUUUAGCCUGUGACGAAGCGUGAGUGACGGUAAUGGGUAAAGAAGCACCGGCUAACUACGUG
rnacentral:rRNA from 1 species